rnacentral:tRNA from 1 species
GCGGACGUGGCGAAAUUGGUAGACGCGCCAGAUUUAGGAUCUGGUAAGUUCUCUUGUGAGAGUUCGAGUCUCUCCGUCCGCA